ACAGAGGGUGCAAGCGUUAAUCGGAAUUACUGGGCGUAAAGCGCGCGUAGGUGGUUUGUUAAGUUGGAUGUGAAAUCCCCGGGCUCAACCUGGGAACUGCAUUCAAAACUGACAAGCUAGAGUAUGGUAGAGGGUGGUGGAAUUUCCUGUGUAGCGGUGAAAUGCGUAGAGAUGCGGCGGAACACCGAUGGCGAAGGCAGCCCCCUGGGCAGAGAUUGACGCUCAGGCACGAAAGCGUGGGGAGCAAACAGGA
rnacentral:rRNA from 1 species